rnacentral:rRNA from 1 species
GCCGCCGCAACAAACAACACUUCUCCCUGUGGCCUCGGCUGUACGCGACAGGCCGCUGCUGACUGGCAUGGCUGCCCCUCUCCUGCGCCUGCUGUGCGCGCUGUGCUUGUUGCCGCUAGCCGCGC